AGCUUGCUUUCCUGAUACUUAGCGGCGGACGGGUGAGUAACACGUAGGCAACCUGCCCUCAAGCUUGGGACAACUACCGGAAACGGUAGCUAAUACCGAAUACUUGUUUUCUUCGCCUGAAGGGAACUGGAAAGACGGAGCAAUCUGUCACUUGGGGAUGGGCCUGCGGCGCAUUAGCUAGUUGGUGAGGUAACGGCUCACCAAGGCGACGAUGCGUAGCCGACCUGAGAGGGUGAUCGGCCACACUGGGACUGAGACACGGCCCAGACUCCUACGGGAGGCAGCAGUAGGGAAUCUUCCGCAAUGGGCGAAAGCCUGACGGAGCAAUGCCGCGUGAGUGAUGAAGGUUUUCGGAUCGUAAAGCUCUGUUGCCAGGGAAGAACGCUUGGGAGAGUAACUGCUCUCAAGGUGACGGUAC
rnacentral:rRNA from 1 species